AAAGAUGCCUGCUGGGAGGGAGGACCGCAGUCCCGGAGCGGCCCACAGCCGGGGCCGACUGCAGAGGCCCCCGGGACAGCACAGCCUUUAGGCGGCACGGGAAACCCGCUUAGCACUUCGGGGGGCAGCGACAGGUGCUCAGGGUGCAGUCCCCUAGGACACAGAGAAACAGACAUGCAGAAACUUGCGGUUCCUGCCGCCCUUUCGUCCCGGCCUCUGAUGUGGUGGGCGAUGGCACACGGGCAGCUCAGCGGAGCCCCUGAACGUCACCAGCACAGUCGCAGUCGAGCAACACGGGCCGGGCCUUCCUGCACCCCAAACUGAGAGGCGCGCAUGGGUGCGUGCGUGUCCGGCUCCGCUGAGUGGAACUCGUGCUCUGCUCCCCCAUUUCCGCUCUGCGCCUCCUCCCGUCUUCCUCCCUUCUGCGGCAGCCUUGAACCCAGCUCCGGCUCCAGGCGUCUCUGCCGCGCCCUCUCCCUUCCGGCCCGCUGUGGUCCCCUCUCCCAGCCUCACAGUGCUCUCUCCGGCUCCUCCUUUCCUCUGGUCCCGGUGAGUCGCUCUGCCUCUGCCUGCCCUGACCUCCUGCCCCUCUCCACCUGUGUCCCGCCCGCUCUCCUUGCAGAGCAGCGUCCGGUGCUCACUCCCGGUGUCAGUGGCUCCUCCUGGCCUCCGCGGGGUCCGUGCCGCCCAGCCGGCCUGCGUGGAGGCCACUCUGUGAGCGCGGCUGCUGACUCCGAGGUCUCCUGUCCUUCCCGGCCCGCGCAGGUCCGUGGCUCACACCAGUGUGUGUCUAAGGGAUGGGCGUGUGGAAAAGCCCUUUCCGCUUUGCCUAGGGAAACUCAGCCUCUCUUUUGAGAGGUAACCCCAAUAACCCUUGAAACGGUCUCCAACCCUUUGCUAACUUUUCCUCUUCCCUACCUGUCCCCACUUCAUUCCUGAAUAAUCCUUGAAUUCCCUGAACUCCCUGUAAUACAGGGCUGAUUUUAUGCCUCUGGUCACUCCCUCCUUCUGUUAGAAUUUAUCUUACCGCACCCUGUCCCUUGGAGUAGGGACUCUUUUCUUUUUCAUCUUUUCUCCUUUCUUUGCUCCAGAGAUUUAUGGAAGAGUAAAUAAAAGGGAAGAAGGGAGCACCCUUUAGCUGCUAGGUACAAGGAAAGUUAAAGCACAGAGUGUAAGAGUGACCUAACUGAGUGCUUCUGAAGCCCCCGAGUUGUACUUGUAAGAGGGACACUUUAGGUGGUGUAAUACGUUUGAAGAUGUUUUAUGGAAGCUGAAGUAGAGCGGAAUAAUCCCACAGUGCAGCCCAAGGUAGACGGAGAAAAUGGAGCUGAAGCUGCUGAACACAUUUCCUUUCAUACGUAAGGCGACUUCCGGAGAGAGGCGCUGUGACUGUCUGUCACAGGAGUGAGACUCCUAAAAGCCACUGCGCCCGCCCAUCACAGACACCGUGCAGCUGUGUGGCCAUCUGUCGCAGUGUGAGAAAGGCCAGACUGAGCCUGCAGUGCUGUGCUGUCUCUCCAGCUGUCCUGCUCACUGGGCUGUGCACUCGACAUCCGAGGCCCCGGUGUGAAGACUCCACAGCAGGAGCACUGAGAGCUUCAGGAAGAAAGCGGCCAGCACAGUCCCCUCCUCCAGGAGACAAGGCUCCUAAACCCAGUGCUUCUCAUUAAGGAAAAAUGUGCCAUCACAAGUUGUGCAUCGUGCAGCUGCGGUCUAGAAACUGCCUCGUUGCCGUGUUCUCCUUGGGCGCUGAGGCCGUGGCGCUGCAGCACAGAAUUCCUCCUCCACGUUCAGUUUGCAGUUUAUUUGUCCUGGGUGCCCUGGGUCCCCUGGGCGCGAGCUCACCCCAGUGGCGUUGCUCUCGCUCCCGCUGGUUCUCCUCACCUAUCACACCCACUGCAGACAUGUUGUUCCGCUGCACACUCACUGGGCCCUGGCUCGUCCUUCCGUGAGGUGAUCGAGAAGUUGGUCUCUCUGCUGCUCUGUUUCCUGGAAUUGGACCCUGCCCCCAGGGGAGAGCAGAGGGCGGUCUCCCUUCAUCUCGUCCUCCUGGUUCCUUCAACUCAUCAGCUGGCCAGACCACCAUCUGUUUAACUUCAGCAUUUGUCUUCUGGUUGUGCAAGCAGUUCAAGUCCUGUGAGCCUAACACACACACACACACACGCACACGCACACACACGCACCCGGCUUCCUUUCUGGUUCUCUGCUCCUCACCUCCCAAAGGACUGGUCUUCAGCAGCGCCAGGAACGUUCUCCGUCUUCAUGCGCUUUGCCGUGAUCCCACCCCAUUGCCCGUGAAACUGUCCCUGCGGAGGACACCACUGACCACAGGUGGCCCAGAACCGGGGUCUGUGAGGAGCACUGACUCUGUGCGGUGGUCUCUCGGCAGUGUCCUCGCUCGGGAUUUGGUCACCCAGUCCCCACUGCGGUCUCGGCACUGCUUCCUCUGGUUCUGACUGCAGACCUCACGCCGAAUGCCCUGGGCACUCAAGGACCUGUUCCAGACACUCACUGCAUGGGACGGAAAAUCAGGGAGCAGAAUCUCUGUGCCCGCAGCAGGGCUGCCUCACCUUGUGUAGGGGUCUCAGGAGGCCCCCGAGAAGCUGCUGCACGGAGCCCCCCAGGAGAAGUGGUGGGAAGGUGCCCAGGAGGAGGGAACAGCCCGUGCUAGAAGGCAGCAUGGCUGGGGAGAGAGCGUGGACCCAGCUUAUUUUUCCCCAAUACUGAGACUGACCUGAGGGCCUUUGUGCUGAGCCACAUCCCAGGAUUCUUUUCUCCCCUUUAGUUAGAGAACGAAGGGCCUCACGUAGGGUCUCAUAAGCCUUGGAGUUUCCAGGCUGGGCUGGAACUUGUGCUUUUCCUGCCUCAGCCUCCCUGAACGCUGAGGUGGGAGUCGUGCCCCACCAUGCCUAGCUCGUUCCCGGGUGGUAGUAGUAACAGCAGCCGCAUUUCUUGAUGUCUUGGGUGUGCUCAGACCGGCCUGUUCUCCUGGGCUGUUCUGGAGAGCAGGGCGCUCCUUGGGGGUGGAGCUGGGCAGCUGGCAGGUGGUGUGGGCAGUGGUAUCCACCAUGGCCGUGGGGUUGUCUCAUGAUGGGAUGACCUCACAGAUGGUGGCUCUCAGGCCGUCCCGUGGUCCUACCCGGGAGGGUGGGAGGCUGAUGUGUUUCAGGGCCAGCCCAGGACCCUGGAGCAGGGCUGCAUCUGGGAAAGCUCCGCCCACCACGUCCUUCACCAUCCAGGUCCGGACUCGUGUGGCGCCUUCUGAGGGCCGGGUUGUCCGUCCACUGCCUAACAGGAAAAAGGCCUGGGCUGGUGUGGGCCACAGGGUGGGGUGCAGCCUCCCUGCUGGCCCGGGGUCCACAGGAUCCGGGGACUCAGCUCUGGGCUUCAUGUGCUGGACACAGUGCAGGCCACGGCCAGGUUAGGGCAGAGGACAGAGCAGUAGCCCGAGCACGGGAGGAGAGGACAGGUCACUGCCACGUGUGCCUCUCACAGGCCUCGCUGGGUGACCGUGGCCCUGUCUGUCUUGGCCAGACCCAGGCCUUUGUCUUCGUUCCUGGCCAAGGAUUCAUCUCUCCUCCUAGGGCCUGGUGGGGGCGACACAGCUGCAGCGCCCCCACCCCACACCCCCGAGACCGGCAGGGCACCCUUGGAGCCAAGCUCAGGGAGGCUCCUUCUCCCUGCCAGCCGGCAGUGCCCUCCACACUGGGGCCCGGGUGGCAGCCCGGAUGGUCCACCCCACUGCACUAGGGCCGGGCAGAGGGCCUGUGCAUGCGUCCAUACAUGUCUACCACACGCAGGAUGCGCUGUCUUGAACCCCCGGAAUCCUCUCCUGCUUUGCUCACACCCGUCCUGUCGCGCUGGCCACUGCCCGCCCACUUCUGGAUGGCCUUUCUCCUGAGCAUCUUGGCGCGGUGCAAUCAGAACUGUGAAUGCUGCUGCCCUGUGCUGUGCAGCAGAAAGUGGGCUUGUGAAAACUCGGCGGUGUCCUCAUCCUCCUCAUCCACCGGGCCUGGCUGUGCCCAGAGUCACCGUGAGCGGGAAAGGCCGAGGCCUUGAAUUGAAGCGGCCGGGAUGAUGGGAUGAGCACGUCUGGAGAGGGGAGGACCCUGGGGAGGGGUCCCUGGCAAUGUGUCCCUCCCUGUAAGUAAAGUUGAAACAUCCGCCGUAGUUUUCGAUGGCCCCUCCUGCCCGGCGAGCACAGAGCAGGGGCUGAGUGGAGUUGCCCAGGCCAGUGCCGCCCUGGAGCUGGCCCUGCCCCGCGUCUGCCCCUCGGCCCCCUCGUGUCCUGCACCUUCAUGAACAUCAGCAACCUUGUGAUAAAGGGGUCACAUGAGGAGCUGCUUCCCUGAGCUGCCAAUGAAUGGGCCGAGGCGGGUCUGGGAGCCGGAUUUGCCCGCCCCAGACCUGCGUGUGGGGCCGCUGCCCUGGACCCCGCGCACCCCACAGUGCCGCUGCCCAAGAGGGGUGGGAGGACCGCAGCUCUGCCAGGAGCGCCCUGGGCAGAGAGAGGGGAGCGGAGCCGGCUUUUGUCCCGCAGAGUGGAGAGAGUUGCUGUCCUGCUGGGCAAAGGGUCUGGAGACUAUAGGGGUAGAGAUUCGGUUUACAAACAGAAAAAGCGCAGCUCUGCGCAGCGCACAGGUGAAAUGGGAAAUCACAGGAAGACUGGCUCGCGGCUUCUCCGCCCGGCCUGGCAGCGCAGCCCUGGACCUUCCUGGCAGCGGCAGGGCCAGGGAGCAGCGGGCAGAGCCCGCCGCCUGCGAUGUUUGACAGGGAGCUCGGCCGUGAUGCGUGCAGCGGGAGUGUAAAAGAGAGGAGAGGCAGGAGGCCUUCUGUGUCCCCGUGUCCCCGCCUGCAGUGAGGGGGCCUCCCUGGGCCUUGGGGUCCGCGGCACAGCCGCUCUCGGCCGCUAGGGGGCGGAGGAGGCCAGGCCUCCCUGAACUGAACAGGGAGGAGGGGCUUGGGGCGCACAGCCGCCAGGGCCGCUGCCCAGGGUCACUUCCCCGCACGCUUAGUGCCUGGACGCCUCUCUAGACCCCAAGGCAGGGCUCCCUGUGGCAGGGAGACGGAGUGGAAUACAGCCGCGCUCCCUUCAGAGAGGAGGAGCCUGGCGUUCGUCCGCGCAGGACCGCCCUUCAGGGAAUGAAGGGUUCUUUGGUUCUGCGCUGCUCCUUCUGCGUCUGCGUCUUCAUUUCCGCUCUGCAGCCCGCAGUGCGCGCGUGACCCCUUGUGGUGCCCUGUGGGACCGAGGCCUCGGUGGGCUCCGUGUCACCUUCUUACCUCCUCCCGGGACUCCGAGUGCUCGCCACAGCCGGGGGCCACACCCGUCCCUCACGGAGAGAAAACACAACCGUGAUGCUGCAGGGCCCGCCGGACAUUUUCAGGAUCAGCUGAGCUGCUGGCAGGCUCUUCUCCGCGUUCAGCCUGAAAUCGGACUCUGUGAAGACCGGAACUCGCCGAACAGGGGCGCGAAAACCAGGAGCCCUGUUGAAUUCUCUUAACGUUGGGGCUGUGCUUACAUGUCAGCUGGAAACUGUUAGACGGCAACUUUGUCUGAUCAGGAUGAGGAUUGCAGCAGGGUGUGAGGGAGAGCCCUGCUCCCAGAGUGAGGAAGGGUAGUCUGACUCUUCGUUUGCAAAACAGGGACCGCGCCGUGCGUUGUUCGCCAGUCGGGGAUGGAAGGGAUGGGAAAGCGCUUUGCAAGCUGCAGUAAGAUGCAUCCGUGUGAGGUCAUCGCUGGCUUUGCAGUCGGCUGGCUUGAAAAUGCGUCGGCUGGGUUCAAGCACAGCCCUGUUCGAUUCCAUUUUGCUCCGUGCUUUCCCUUCUUAAGCGGUGGAGACCGAGAGUCAGCCCUGUUCAUCUCUCAGGUCCUGCGUGACGGACAUGUGCGAGUGUCCAGCCCACAGGAACUGUUACUGUGAGUCGCUCCUGGCCUAUGCCCGGGCCUGCCAGAGGGAGGGCAUCUCGGUGCCCUGGGCGCCCCAGCAGCACUGCGCAGCCACCCAGUGCAGGCACGGCGCUGUGUAUGACACCUGUGGCCCGGGGUGUGUGAAGACCUGCGACACCUGGAAUGACAUCGGUCCUUGCAACAAGCCAUGUGUGGCAGGCUGCCGCUGUCCAGCUGACUUGGUCCUGCACAGGGGACGGUGCAUCCCGCCGGUGCUUUGUCCUCAGCGGUGACGUCUGUGCCGGCCAUGGAGACUGAAGCCUGGUGUCCCGGACACUGAAGCGGAAGAGGCAGGGAAGAGCACACAGAGCACACGUGUCCCUGUGGAGAGGUACAGAUACAGCCUUUCAUCGUUUGUGUGGACUCUAGUGCAGUACUAGAGUAUUGUGUGGGAGCAUUUUCUGCUAUAAACAGGUUUUGUUUCUAGGACCCUGAUCUGUAAGCCAUUGGACUCAGUGUAUAAACACAGCAGGGGGGUUUAAUUGAGCGGGCAGCGUGCAGACUUCCGGAGUGGUGGGACAGUCACACGUUUCUCCUUCUUGAGGAAGUCUGCUAAGGGCCCCCAGCUGCCUGCCUGCCUUCGUUGUAGCUUGGACUCAGUGUUGGUCACUGAGUAGAAAAUGGGUUUUUCUGGAAAAAGGCCUACUUAUUUGGGGACAUUUCGUAUUUCCUAAGAGAGGAACGUGUGCCCGAGUGGGGUGGAAGACCGGGCAGGCCCUGAUGCUGCCUGCGAGGCAAGGAAGGAGAGGCUGCCCGGCUCACGGGCGGUGGUCUGACGCCGUUCCCACGACUGGCCGUCACCAGGAAACACGGGCGCCACCGAAGGUGGGGCGGGUUCUUACGGUCUUCGCGGAGCCCUCCAGCCUCCUAGGUUCUCUGCGAGUGCUGGAGGUGGCCACUUGUGCCGUCGCUGAGAUGGAGGAGUGUCCAGGAGCCGUGUUUGUUAUGAGCAUGGGAAGGUGCACAGCGCAUGGAGAACACCGUGCUUCUGACUCUCAGAGCUGUCCAGGGAGGGAUGGAGGCCUCUGCCUUCUGCGAUGUCCCAUGCGGAACCGGAAGUCUUCGACUGCUCUGAGGGCUCCCUUCUGGCGCUGUUGGUGGCUGAGAAUGUGUCGCAGUCUUAGCUGGGAAAGACUUGCUGGCCAGUUGCUUUAACGUCAUUCCAAACAAAGAACGUCCGUCCUGCCUGCUUUCCCAGUUUAUUGAUGAUGUCGCUCCCAGUUGCCCUGUGAUUUUCCUGGCUUUCACUUUCUGUUACACAAGUGCAAAAGUCAACCAAAACAAAACCCGCUGAUGUCUAAAAAUGAAAUGUUCUGCACUGUAGUAAAUAAAUGGAUUAAGCUUCAGCCAUGGCGUUUCCUCCUGUAAGAUGUCCUGUGUUGUGCUUUACGAAUGAGCUGUAUCAACUUCAGGUUUGUCCGUAUUAAUAGUUCUCCUUAGGCCUAAUUAUAAGCCGUCUGUUGCUUUUAUUGAUAGAGUACUGUUAACGGAUAGCAGCAGAUGCCUGCAUUCUGGCUGUAGGAGUGUCAGCCUUGCUGUCAAAGGCCUGCGUACCCUUUACGCUCCCCAUGAGGCACCGCUGCGGGCUCUUUCCGAGCGCCCUGGCAGCCAGCAGGACUGGAGUGAAGUCGCCGUGAGGAGCUCUUCAGCUCCUGACAUUGCCCUUCAGGUCUUAUCCUCCGUCUCUCCCCACACACGGUUUUCAUUCUCCUCUCCCGAGACAGAGUGCGCCCGGGGCUAGGAUGGCCCGGAAUAGAUGCUGUGGUCCACUUACUCCUGUUGUGCAGCCCUCGGAGGGCUGGAAGCAAGUGCUCCCCUUGCUCCUCCUUUAACUCAGUGAGAUGAAUCAGAAGGCCCUGGUGAUGUUAUUAAUUGCAAAGCUGUGCGCCUCCCUCUCCGGGCCCAGCGAAGCCUCUGGUGCAGGUGAUCUGCGACUUCUACCUCCAGGGCCCACACUAUCCCCUGCAGUGCUCAGAGCCCUUGGCCCCUUCGCCUUGCUCGAGCAGGCCUCACUAGACUCUGCUCAUCCAGCUGCCUGUGAAGUGGGAGGGCCGAGGCCUGUGUUUCAGGUGCUUUACUGGGCUCCAGGGACCCGAAGUCUGUGUCCAGGCCACGUGGACAUUGCCUUCCAGCACUUCCCUCUGCAGCAUGAGUGGCACCUGUGCACGGGGGUUUUCUCUGCACACCAGAGUGCAUGUAUUUUUGCAGUGAGCAUGGACUUGUGUACAAACCACACUCGCAGGCAGGCUUUCCGAAGACAGCCGCAGUGCUUUGCCCUGUGUGCUCUGCUCCGGUGUGACACGACCAGGCCCCCACCGCUGGAGCCAAGUGUGACUCCCUUGUGGUACUCUGGGCUGCCUUGGUGGCUGCCUCCUCUCCAGUGGCUGUGGGAAUCUCCGCCCUGAGUGUGGUUGCAAGUGACAGUCCUAGGUGAGCCCAGCCUUCCACUCUGCCCAGCCAUGUCCGGGUAACUCUGGCCCCGGCCACGGGGUGUCCCCACUGAGGCCAUUCUCUACGGGUCUCGCCUCUCUGCGUAUCUGCCAUGCAAAUCACCCCUGCCUUUGUCCCAGGUUAUCAUUCAGAAGAUGCUGCCAGAGCGAACAGCCUGCAAGAAAGAGACUGCUCCACCUUCUGAAGCAAAGGGCAAGCUUGUUUUCAGCCUUGGAAAACGGAGACAGUGUCCCCUAAUAAAGACACUGCCCUGCUUGGGCUGAGCUGCAGGGGCACAAUGUGCAGGCGUCCGUCCGUCUUCUCCAAAGACACCACCAUUCUCACCAAGUCCUUUCACCAAAUGGAGGCUGGCAGGUGACAGUCACUGUGCUCGACACUGAGGCUUAGCAGGACAGACAGCAGGCAGACUGCAUCAUCUCAGCUGCAGAUCUGCACCCUAAGGAGGUAGGAGAUGACAUAGGACGUGGGCUGUGUCAUCCCAGAGACGGGGAGCAGCAGGUGCAGCAGCACAGGCCCGUCGAGGUGCGCAGAAUGUCAGAGGCGGCAUAUGCUGGCACACACUGGGGUCCUUACCCAAGCCAGAGAGGUGAGAGGAAGGUGGCCAAACAGGAAACAGGGUCUACAGGAAGCGGGAGCGGGGCACAGUCUGCAUGCCUCUGCUCCAAUCUCUUAACUCCCACCAUGUCCCCCUUCCGUCUGUAAAGCAACUCUAACUCCUGCCGCCUCGCAUAAUUAUGAGGCUCAAACAAGGUAUUACACGUGGUGCACUGUGAAGUAUUAUCUGUGCAGUCUUCUUAAUUCCACCUAUGACCUUUGUCAACUUCAGCUUGGAUUCAGGUACAAGGAAGUGCUGAGAUGUGUCAGUAGUGCAAAAAACCAAACAAAAUCAUUCAUGUAUGACUUUGAAUCGUGUUAGAAGAGUUUUUGUGGGUAUUUCCUUCCCUGUUCCUCCUGCUGAGGUUGAAAUCCACUCGUGUCUCUUGCCCACAAAUACAUGACAGCCUUCGCGUGCACAGUCCACCCACAAGCUCCGUGUCUCACACACAGAUGGAGAGGAUAAUUGGAUGAAGCUGGGAGGCACCUUCAUGGACUGCUG